UAGGGAAUCUUCCACAAUGGACGCAAGUCUGAUGGAGCAACGCCGCGUGAGUGAAGAAGGUUUUCGGACCGUAAAGCUCUGUUGUUGGUGAAGAAGGAUAGAGGUAGUAACUGGCCUUUAUUUGACGGUAAUCAACCAGAAAGUCACGGCUAACUACGUGCCAGCAGCCGCGGUAAUACGUAGGUGGCAAGCGUUGUCCGGAUUUAUUGGGCGUAAAGCGAGCGCAGGCGGAAGAGUAAGUCUGAUGUGAAAGCCCUCGGCUUAACCGAGGAAUUGCAUCGGAAACUGUUUUCUUGAGUGCAGAAGAGGAGAGUAGAACUCCAUGUGUAGCGGUGGAAUGCGUAGAUAUAUGGAAGAAUACCAGUGGCGAAGGCGGCUCUCUGGUCUGCAACUGACGCUGAGGCUCGAAAGCAUGGGUAGCGAACAGGAUUAGAUACCCUUGGUAGUCCAUGCCGUAAACGAUGAGUGCUAAGUGUUGGGAGGCUUCCGCCUCUCAGUGCUGCAGCUAACGCAUUAAGCACUCCGCCUGGGGGAGUACGACCGCAAGGU
rnacentral:rRNA from 1 species